rnacentral:rRNA from 1 species
UACGUAGGGUGCGAACGUUGUCCGGAAUUAUUGGGCGUAAAGAGCUUGUAGGCGGUUUGUCGCGUCUGCUGUGAAAUCUCAAGGCUCAACCUUGAGCUUGCAGUGGGUACGGGCAGACUAGAGUGCGGUAGGGGGAGACUGGAAUUCCUGGUGUAGCGGUGAAAUGCGCAGAUAUCAGGAGGAACACCGGUGGCGAAGGCGGGUCUCUGGGCCGUAACU